GAUGAACGCUAGCGGCAGGCCUAAUACAUGCAAGUCGAACGAGAUUAAGAGGCUUUCUUCUUAUGAAAGUGGCGCACGGGUGCGUAACGCGUAUGCAACCUACCUUAAUCAGGGGGAUAGCCCGAAGAAAUUCGGAUUAAGACCGCAUAAAAACACAGGAUAGCAUUAUCCAAUGUUCAAAUAUUUAUAGGGUUAAGAUGGGCAUGCGUGUCAUUAGCUAGUUGGCGGGGUAACGGCCCACCAAGGCGACGAUGACUAGGGGAUCUGAGAGGAUGACCCCCCACACUGGUACUGAGACACGGACCAGAAGCCUACGGGAGGAAGCAGUAAGGAAGAUUGGUCAAUGGAGGGAACUCUGAACCAGCAAUGCCGAGUGAAGGAAGACAGCCCUCUGGGUCGUAAACUGCUUUUAUACGGGAAUAAACCUUUCUACGUGUAGGAAGCUGAAUGUACUGAAGGAAUAAGGAUCGGCUACCUCCGU
rnacentral:rRNA from 1 species